rnacentral:rRNA from 1 species
CCUACGGGUGGCAGCAGUGAGGAAUAUUGGUCAAUGGGCGGGAGCCUGAACCAGCCAAGUCGCGUGAGGGAAGACGGUCCUACGGAUUGUAAACCUCUUUUGCCGGGGAGCAACGGGGUCCUUGCGAGGGCCCGAUGAGAGUACCCGGAGAAAAAGCAUCGGCUAACUCCGUGCCAGCAGCCGCGGUAAUACGGAGGAUGCGAGCGUUAUCCGGAUUUAUUGGGUUUAAAGGGAGCGUAGACGGUUAAGUAAGUCUGGAGUGAAAGGCCGGGGCCCAACCCCGGGACUGCUCUGGAAACUAUUGAACUUGAGUGCAGGAGAGGUAAGCGGAAUUCCUAGUGUAGCGGUGAAAUGCGUAGAUAUUAGGAGGAACACCAGUGGCGAAGGCGGCUUACUGGACUGUAACUGACGUUGAGGCUCGAAAGCGUGGGGAGCAAACAGGAUUAGAUACCCGUGUAGUC